AGCAUCUAAGCGGGAAGCCUACCUCAAGAUAAGAUUUCCCUAGGACUUUAUGUCCUCUAAAGAGCCGUUCGAGACUAGGACGUUGAUAGGUUGGAUGUGGAAGCAUAGUGAUAUGUGAAGCUGACCAAUACUAAUUGCUCGUGAGGCUUGACUAUACAACACCCA
rnacentral:rRNA from 1 species